rnacentral:misc_RNA from 1 species
GUUUUUUUAAAUAUUUUUUUCUUAAUAAAUUAUUAUUUAAAAACUUUAAACUUUGAUAAAAAUCUUCAAAUUUGUUAAAAGAAAAUUUAUAUUGAAAUUGAACUAUAACUAUCUUAAUAUUUUUAUAAAAAAGUAGGCAAAAUGAAGUAAUAUGGCAUUGAAAAUCAACUUUAUCAUAUGACCUUAUCAUGGCAUUGAAGUAAUACUGUUUCCCUCUUAUGGGAGUAUCUGUUAUGUUUGAUAACAAAGGUAGCGUUUUAGAGCCUCUAAAUACUUUU